GUAAGGGCGAAGUUCUAUUCCUCCUUGACUUCCUGUUAUUGUAAACUUGCUUCCUGUUCGCUGCGGCUGGUGGGCACAGAUACACAGCCAACGUACUGUACUAAAAACCCAGCGGACACUCAAAUUUCUUCUGUUAUUGGCAGGUUCAUAAAUAUGGAGACACAAAACAAACUGCCCAUGAAUACUUGAUAAGAACCCGCUGUGGACAUCAGCUCACCUAGCCAGACUUUUAACUUCUGGCCACUUCGCAGCUUAUUCUGGCCAAGAAACUUCUACUUGGGGUAAAGCCUACAAGGGGCACAUCUUUAUCUGCAAGGCUAAUGUUUUCUUGAAGUUCGUGGAUCCUCCUGAGGUACAGACAGCGGAGGAGAGAUGACUCGAUGUGUUGAAUAUCUGAUGCCUUCCUCUUUCCCCGCUGUGGCCAUUACUCACCUCCUCGGAGAUGAUUGCAGAAGCCACAACAGACGCAAAAGAGACUGACACCGAGACACUGUGUGAGUUACGUCUCAAAAAAAACACAUUAUGAAUGAUUACGCUGACAGGAUGGAUCUUAGCGCUCGCUCUCCUUCUCUGUUUUGUUCCUUCCUCUCUGAGUCUUGUGUGCGUCUGUACAAGUAGAAAAGAAAUCAUUCAAGCAAGGACAGCGGCAAACUAUGAAAAGUAAAGUGUGAAAGGAUAUUACUAGAAUUUUAAAGUCAACUUGAAAUUGUUCCAAUUUACUUUCUCAACACAAGCGCUUGGUCUUAUUGUGAACGAAGCACAUUAUUCCUAAGAAAGAAAAAUUUGUCUUCGUAAUCUCUCAUCAAAAAGGAAUAUUGUGCCUUGCCUCUAAAACGUAUUUCACUUUGUGCUGACAUCAUCAAUCCCUAUUAUUUUUUAGCCCCUCCCCUUCGAAAACUUGUCAUGUAGAGAUGCUUUUCACCAUCUAAGCAGUUCUCAACAGAUAAAAGAAAGAAAAGUGCCACAUUUACAAGGUAAAUCAUUUUAGUUUAACUUCAAGUAAAUAUAUUUUAAACAAUAAACAGCAACCAGUAUGUGGCUUUGAUCGUUUUUUUCUGUUGAUUUUUAAUUGCUCAAGUUGCAAAACAUUGAAAAUACUUUUUUUGGGGGGGGUGGUCCAUACAAUGUAUUAAUGCUUUUUCAUUAAAUAUACAGUUAAUUUGCAAGCAAAUUUUUGUAAACUGUUAUAGUUUAAGAAUAGUUUUACGUACAAUUUAUGCUCAUUUGCUACUACAGUUCAGCUUUGUUUUUUUUUGCCUGAAAUAUGAUGACUACUCUGAAUAAACUUUAUCUUGUAUUUACUAAACAAGUGUUUUCACGAUGUGCCAUAUUGGCAGCAGUGAACGUAAACAAUGUCACUGAACCGAAUGAAACUUGCAAAUUUUGUAGAUUAUUGCUGCUGAAAAUAGUCAGUUAUUGUCAUGUUUUGGGCUGCUCUAAUCGGUUGGACUGAGAAAAACAUAUGGAGUACUACAGACUGUCAAAAAAGUUAGAACAAAUCAAGUAGAAGAGUGCAAAAAACUGUCUGAGGAAAGAAGGUGUUUGUAGUUGGCCAAAUUGAACCAGGAUUUCCAGGGCAAGAGUAUUGACAACAUUCAUGUUUGUGCUUAUUUUCGGUCAGGUAGGGGAA